GACGAACGCUGGCGGCGUGCCUAAUACAUGCAAGUUGAGCGCUGAAGGUUGGUACUUGUACCAACUGGAUGAGCAGCGAACGGGUGAGUAACGCGUGGGGAAUCUGCCUUUGAGCGGGGGACAACAUUUGGAAACGAAUGCUAAUACCGCAUAAAAACUUUAAACACAAGUUUUAAGUUUGAAAGAUGCAAUUGCAUCACUCAAAGAUGAUCCCGCGUUGUAUUAGCUAGUUGGUGAGGUAAAGGCUCACCAAGGCGAUGAUACAUAGCCGACCUGAGAGGGUGAUCGGCCACAGUGGGACUGAGACACGGCCCAAACUACUACGGGAGGCAGCAGUAGGGAAUCUUCGGCAAUGGACGAAAGUCUGACCGAGCAACGCUGCGUGAGUGCAGAAGGUUUUCGGAUCGUAAAACUCUGUUGGUAGAGAAGAACGUUGGUGAGAGUGGAAAGCUCAUCAAGUGACGGUAACUACCCAGAAAGGGACGGCUAACUACGUG
rnacentral:rRNA from 1 species